AUACGUAGGGUGCAAGCGUUAAUCGGAAUUACUGGGCGUAAAGCGUGCGCAGGCGGUUUUGUAAGUCAGUGGUGAAAUCCCCGGGCUCAACCUGGGAACUGCCAUUGUGACUGCAAGGCUGGAGUGCGGCAGAGGGGGGUGGAAUUCCGCGUGUAGCAGUGAAAUGCGUAGAUAUGCGGAGGAACACCGAUGGCGAAGGCAAUCCCCUGGGCCUGCACUGACGCUCAUGCACGAAAGCGUGGGGAGCAAACAGGAUUAGAUACCCUGGUAGUCCACGCCCUAAACGAUGUCAACUGGUUGUUGGGGAUUUAUUUUCUCAGUAACGAAGCUAACGCGUGAAGUUGACCGCCUGGGGAGUACGGCCGCAAGGUUAAAACUCAAAGGAAUUGACGGGG
rnacentral:rRNA from 1 species